ACUUUCAGCAACGGAUUUUUUGGCUCUUGCAUCGAUGAAGAACGCAGGGAAUUGCGAUAAGUAAUGUGAAUUGCAGAUUUUCAGUGAAUCAUUGAAUCUUUGAACGCACCUUGCGCUCCUUGGUAUUCCGAGGAGCAUGCCUGUUUGAGUGUCAUU
rnacentral:rRNA from 1 species